GCCCCCGAACCAAACUGUGGCGUUUAUCGCCGCGUUCCCUUCUUGGGAUAGGUUCGGGGGUUUCC
rnacentral:sRNA from 12 species